ensembl:lncRNA
CAGUCAAAGAUGUAUUUAAUAGGAAUUUUACAACUGCCUGCAGCACAGAAACUGCAAAAGUCCUGAAAUAUUAGCAAAUCAAUAAAAAGCGUUUCUCCAGGAAAUGUACACCUCAAACUACAAGGGAAAAGAUUUCCAUAUCAUUGUACUGUAAACUUACUGUGAUCUGUGGGAGUGCUGAGAGAUUCCAUUUACAUACUAAUGCCACAAGCAAGCUGGGCGGUGUGGGGAGAGAAGAGUUACUUAGCACCAGUAAUGAGCAGAAAGGAAAAGAAGGCAGCUACAGUCCCCAGGGACUGUUUUGUUUUCAAUAAUUUUAGACUGUCUAAUAAUGCCUUUUAAUAAGCUGCUCUCAGCUACAAAGCUGCAAUCAGCCCUUGUCAAAGAACAUAAUGCUGCCUCAGACAGCAAAACAGUUUUGAUAUAAUGGACAAAGGACCCCAUCUAAAUAGAAGCUUCUUAAAAAAGAAAUGAGAAAAAAAGUUCCAUCAGUGUUAAGACAUAAGUUAUGCUGUCUAUACUGUGUAUCCUUUCAUUUCCUACACACUAGAUUUCAAGAUCUCUAUUAAAGCAAAAUACAUUCUAAACCCCACAUUUCCUGGUUUACUCUACUCCAGUCCUAGUUUAUAAGUAGACUAACUUGCUUAUUUAUAGGGUAUUUAUGCCCCAGAGUGCAAUUCAAGUUAUGACUGAUCCUGUUAAUUUUCUGGUUUUAGUCUAUGCUACCCACUUAGUCUCUAAGUGACUCCUAUAUGACACCGAAAUUAACACUGCAAUAGGCUAUCCACAUUUAAGACUAUUUCCACACCACUCAAUUUAAAGCAGUUCUCACAGAAGCUCAAGUCUAGCUAUGAGAGCUAAAGAUAUAUAUAUGAUAGGUGAAACAUGGAUGUUCUACUCCAUUAAACCCAGGAUUCCUCAAACAAGUGGGUCACCUUCUCUGCUGACAAAGGCAGAUCCAACUCCACUGUUGCCAACAGCCAUGUCACCAUAAACUGCAACUGAAUCUACCCAACCUUUGGGUUUAGGAGUUGGUUCAUAAACCAUUACUAACUCAAAAAGAAUUCAGUAUCAUCCAUUUAGUACAUGUAUUUCUUAUAAAUCAAAGCACUAACAAGAUGGGAAGAAGAUCACUUUUUUCCUCUAGGAAUUCUGAUCUUUCUGCUAUUAUCACCAUCCUUUUCUUUCCAGGAACAGACUUACUGUGAUGGCAGUUAGCACAUUUUACAGCUCAGUUCAGAGAUGACUAAAAUUUAAGACACAUUGCCUGAAAAACACCCAGUCACUCAAACCAGCACAAAAUCUGUUUGUCCUGAAGAUACACCAAUCACCUUAGUCAUAUAGGUAGAGAUCUCUCUAUAACCUCUUUUUAGUGUCAGUUUUUACAUGCUAGAGAAUCAGCAUAAACCACUGUGGCAUUUGGUUAUUGCAGUUUGUGCUUAUUUAAGGAAAAAUAAAUUUAUCACUUAGAAAAAACAAAUUAAGCAGCAAAAUGGCAGCUUUUUCAUCUCGAUACAUUUCUGCCCCACUUUAUGGGAAGGGGAACCUGUGGCAAGUCCCACUUUCUCUGAGGGGUGCCAGAUAAUAACAGCACAUCAACACACGCACAGCCAAACCUCCUUUUGCCAAUGACAUUUCAUAAUGCUUCUUCCACUUGUGAAGCUCUCCAGAGAAAGGAAGUGCUAAUUCCUGGUAAAACAUCCAGCCCAAAGGACCCAAAUCUGUCUAGUGUUUGAACUCUUUCUGCACAGAAAUAGAGGGAAAUUGCUUUUAUUUGCAUGAAGUUAGUUGGGUUUUGCAUUUUUUCCCCAUUUAUUUACAGCUAGAAGCUGUGUACUUUUCUCUACCUAGUAGUAAAUAAAGAGAACAGGUAUGAAAUUCAGGGGUUUUUUGGUUGUCAGUAUUAUCAGAUCAGUGCCUGAAUAACUGCCUUUUAGAGCAGGGUAUAGCAGACCUGAAACGCAUGUUUCUCGAGCUGAAAAAAUUCUCAAUGAAAUACAAACUCAAACCAAAUGCAAAGUACUGAAUUAAAGUGUGAAGCAAACAGUACUUUAAGAACAAGAUCCCCAACACUGAUUCACAAAACAUAGUUUAUCAGGAAGCUAAACCACGCAUUUAGAGUCCCAGGUACCUUCUCCACACUCAAGAGUUAAAGAUUCAACAAGAGGAGAUUUAAAAUCCUCCUACACGCUGAGAUUCAGGAUUCUAAUUGCUCUGUGGAGGCACAUUCCCCUCUGCAGAGCACUGCCACCUGGUAAACAGACUGAGCACCACUUGCACGGACCACAUAAUGAGAGUUUUCCCUCCCUUUUAAACUUGUUUCUGUUGCAAGCUGUUUCAUGCUACCUCCAAAAUACUGGGAAAUAACAGUAGCAUGUAGUUCUACACCCAGAGCUGAAGUAAGAGGUCACAGAAAAGGCUUCUCAUUGCCAUUUCCUAGCAAUUCCCUGUCAUUUCAAUACACAAGGUUAAAUCACUCCAGAAGCCUCCCUACAGGGCUCCCAUUGUUUGUCAGUCAAGGCUAGGACACAAUGGCGCUCAUUCAUGUGCACAGCAAACAAGCAGCUCAGGGCCCACGACCAACAUACAGUCUCAUUUUGGUUCUUCUGCAAACAGUUUGUAGAAAGAUGGCAUUUCAAAUAAACUAUGUCAAUUUUUCCAAGUUUCAAUGCAUUCCUAGUACAAACUAAUUAGUAGGGAGUCCAGGCAAAAAUUAAGACAACUUGAGAGCAAUGUGAAGAAUCACCCCAAAAACCACUCACUCAUUAGGACUGCUCC